rnacentral:rRNA from 1 species
AUUGAACGCUGGCGGCAUGCCUUACACAUGCAAGUCGAACGGCAGCAUGGAGAGCUUGCUCUCUGAUGGCGAGUGGCGAACGGGUGAGUAAUGCAUCGGAAUGUACCGUGUAGUGGGGGAUAACGUAGCGAAAGUUACGCUAAUACCGCAUACGCACUGAGGUGGAAAGCAGGGGAUCGCAAGACCUUGCGCUAUACGAGCGGCCGAUGUCAGAUUAUCUAGUUGGUAGGGUAAAGGCCUACCCAGGCGACGAUCUGUCGCGGGUGUGAGAGGAUGAUCCGCCACACUGGGACUGGGACACAGCCCAGACUCCUACGGGAGGCAGCAGUGGGGAAUUUUGAACAAUGGGGGCAACCCUGAUCCAGCCAUGCCGCGUGAGUGAAGAAGGCCUUCGGGUUGUAAAGCUCUUUCGGCCGGGAAGAAAUCGCACAGGCUAAUACUCUGUGUGGAUGACGGUACCGGCAUAAGAAGCACCGGCUAACUACGUGCCAGCCGCCGCCGUAA